UCUUUGAAUGAACGUUAGCGCGGGCUCUGAUCAUACAAAAAGAAAAAGGGGGAAUUGUUGGAGAAUGGCUCAGAGACAAGGGUCCUGAGCCCACCGAGCAACUGUAUGAUCAGAGCCCGCGCUAACUGCUGACUGCUGAGCCUU